rnacentral:rRNA from 1 species
CAGUAGCCGCGGUAAUACGAAGGGGGCUAGCGUUGCUCGGAAUUACCGGGCGUAAAGGGAGCGUAGGCGGACAUUUAAGUCAGGGGUGGAAUCCCGGAGCUCAACUCUGGAACUGCCUUUGAUACUGGGUGUCUUGAGUGUGAUAGAGGUAUGUGGAACUCCGAGUGUAGAGGUGAAAUUCGUAGAUAUUCGGAAGAACACCAGUGGCGAAGGCGACAUACUGGAUCAUUACUGACGCUGAGGAGCGAAAGCGUGGGGAGCGAACAGGAUUAGAUACCCCUGUAGUCCCUGUCUCUUAUAC